rnacentral:rRNA from 1 species
UACGUAGGGGGCAAGCGUUGUCCGGAUUUAUUGGGCGUAAAGAGCGUGUAGGCGGUCAGGUAGGUCCGUUGUGAAAACUCGAGGCUCAACCUCGAGACGCCGAUGGAAACCAUCUGACUAGAGUCCGGAAGAGGAGAGUGGAAUUCCUGGUGUAGCGGUGAAAUGCGCAGAUAUCAGGAAGAACACCCGUGGCUAAGGCGGCUCUCUGGGGACGGUACUGACGCUGAGAC